UGAAAUGGUUGAAACUGCCUUAGUUAAUAUUUAUAGGUCCUUUUCUUUAUAUUCUAAACAUGUACUCUAUCAAGUAGAAAUAUGAGAAUUUUCUUAAGAUGAUGUGUUCCUGCAUUUUCUGUCACUCCUCUGCUUUUAAAUUUCCUCAGCUGUUUGCUAUCUGAAUAAGCAUUCAGAUUCUUACAUUGUGGGUUUGUGAUCCUUUCUUCUAGGUUUGUGUGUACAUUUACAUCCUUUUCUAUUUGCUGUGUGCUCACAAUGUCUUUCUCUUUUACACAGAAUGUCAUUAAAAUGUAAAGGAUUGUACUUAACAAAUAAAUUUUGCUCCACUGAGGUGAGAAGCCUGCUGAGUCAUAUGAACUGAAGCUGUUUCCACUGAAAGCAUGAAACAUUAGUUUGCAAUACCAGAUCAGUUAGAAUGCUAAACCCAAAGAUAUGUGAGUUGUUCUGAAAGUAAUGCAUCCUAUUUAUUUCCUUAGGAACUACAAAAGACAAGAAGAGCACAGUAACACUAUUUGGUAGAGCAAAUUCUCAGCUACAAUACACUUUUUUCAACAUGCAUCUUCAUCAGCAAUGAAUAAGAGCCUGCAUGCUGUGCUCAUUAAAAAAUCUGCACUGGAAGAGGUCACCCACUGACACUGUUAUCGCUGCUGAAAUGCAUCACUCAUCUUCUCACUGUGCUCACAUCCACUAUUUGGUCUCCAGCAAUGUUCAACAAUUGUCGAUGAAUAUCAGUGGGUGCCAUUUUUUUCUUCAUGGAGCAUGCUUGCACUUCAUCUGCACUUUCAUGUUAGACAGUGUUCUGUCAGGCUGCCUCUCUUCUGCCAUCUUUGCCAUUUUCAUACAGCAACAAAUGUAAUGCAAGAUUGUCUGGAAGAUUCAACCUCUAGUGCUAUACACCAGCAUCUGCCUCCAUUGUAGACCAGCAUAAUAUAACAGGAGGCAUUACUUUUGGAGCAGCCCUUGUAAUUUUGGUAGUCAUUGAGAUGUAUAAAUGGUCAGAUAUAUACCUGUAUUUACAAGCCAAACCAUACUGACACGUUGCUGAUUCUUUCAGACACCAAUAUCUUCGUGUACAAGAAACCAAGAAUUCACAGCAAUGGCAUCAUAAUUUUAAAAAGUCAUCUUCUGUGAACACAGUUUUUCUUCUUCUUGCUUAGCUCACACAUUUUUCUUAUUUGAAAGUUAUGGGGAUUUCUGACAGAGUUGAAUAAUAAAUGGAGUUCCCACCUCCUGACUUUGUACUACAAACUGGUGAAUCAUUACAGAUCUUUCAGUGCCACCUUUAGGGAAACUGGGAACUACCUUCAAAAACCUCCAAAUAUAGGAUGAGCUCACAUUCAUUGUAUGGGUUCGUGAGCUUGCAUAAGUGACACUGCUGUGGAAUGAUUCCAAACUUAUGAGGGAACCAUUAGUUAUACAGCUGCUUUGGUUUUCUGAGUACCUCAAUGCAACUUCACUUUUUGAAGAAGCUGCAGCUUUAAAUAAAGCCUGUUUUUGAUUUAUGCAGUUGUUACAUUUCCACUGUGGGAAUACAGAGCACCACAAUUCUUUCCCUCAUCUAGAUGGGAAGAAGGGGGAAGUGCAGGGCUCAGUGACAACUGGUAUGCUUCUAAAUAGUUGUGGAACGGUAUU